rnacentral:rRNA from 1 species
UACAGAGGGUGCGAGCGUUGUCCGGAAUCACUGGGCGUAAAGGGCGCGUAGGUGGCGGUGUAAGCGUGCGGUGAAAGCCCGAGGCUCAACCUCGGGUCGGCCGUGCGAACUGCAUCGCUCGAGCAGAAUAGAGGCAGGUGGAAUUCCGGGUGUAGCGGUGGAAUGCGUAGAGAUCCGGAAGAACACCGGUGGCGAAGGCGGCCUGCUGGGUUCUGGCUGACACUGAGGCGCGACAGCGUGGGGAGCAAACAGG